GUGUUAUAGGGAAGGAGAGAAAAUUAGAAUUCCCCUUGAUAAAGAUGGAAGAACUUUUAGUGACCUUUACAGCAUAUCUAUAUCAAUUCAAGUCAACAAAUAUUUAU
ensembl:snRNA